CCCUGGCAGUCAGAGGCGAUGAAGGACGUGCUAAUCUGCGAUAAGCGCCGGUAAGGUGAUAUGAACCGUUAUAACCGGCGAUUUCCGAAUGGGGAAACCCAGUGUGAUUCGUCACACUAUCAUUAACUGAAUCCAUAGGUUAAUGAGGCGAACCGGGGGAACUGAAACAUCUAAGUACCCCGAGGAAAAGAAAUCAACCGAGAUUCCCCCAGUAGCGGCGAGCGAACGGGGAGGAGCCCAGAGCCUGAAUCAGCAUGUGUGUUAGUGGAAGCGUCUGGAAAGGCGCGCGAUACAGGGUGACAGCCCCGUACACAAAAGCGCAUGUGCUGUGAGCUCGAUGAGUAGGGCGGGACACGUGGUAUCCUGUCUGAAUAUGGGGGGACCAUCCUCCAAGGCUAAAUACUCCUGACUGACCGAUAGUGAACCAGUACCGUGAGGGAAAGGCGAAAAGAACCCCGGCGAGGGGAGUGAAAAAGAACCUGAAACCGUGUACGUACAAGCAGUGGGAGCACAGGUUUACCUGUGUGACUGCGUACCUUUUGUAUAAUGGGUCAGCGACUUAUAUUCUGUAGCAAGGUUAACCGAAUAGGGGAGCCGUAGGGAAACC
rnacentral:rRNA from 1 species